rnacentral:rRNA from 1 species
UACGUAGGGUGCGAGCGUUGUCCGGAAUUAUUGGGCGUAAAGGGCUCGUAGGCGGCUUGUCACGUCGGGAGUGAAAACUCAGGGCUUAACCCUGAGCCUGCUUCCGAUACGGGCAGACUAGAGGUAUGCAGGGGAGAAUGGAAUUCCUGGUGUAGCGGUGAAAUGCGCAGAUAUCAGGAGGAACACCGGUGGCGAAGGCGGUUCUCUGGGCAUUACUGACGCUGAGGAGCGAAAGCGUGGGGAGCGAACAGG